rnacentral:rRNA from 1 species
UACGAAGGGUGCUAGCGUUGUUCGGAAUCACUGGGCGUAAAGGGCGCGUAGGCGGCUUUUCAAGUCAGGGGUGAAAUCCGUGGAGCUUAACUCCAGAAUUGCCUUUGAAACUGGGAAGCUUGAGUGUUGGAGGGGAUAGCGGAAUUCCUAAUGUAGAGGUGAAAUUCGUAGAUAUUAGGAGGAACACCGGUGGCGAAGGCGGCUAGUCUGGGUCGAUACUGACGCUGAGGUGCGAAAGCGUGGGGAGCAAACAGGG